AUUAUCUCUAUACAAAUCAAAGUGAAAUUUUUAUCAUUCCCCAUAUCUGCACAAAGAACAAAUAUGGGAACUAUUGUAAAAGUAAUACAAAAACAUCAGAAUUAGAAGGAAGAGCAAGUAUUCAAGCGAAAUCAAAUUCCAGCCAAAUCUUUUACCAAGAUCUGAUAGUUCGCCUAUGUUUAUUUGGGGUCUAAGAACAUAAAAGGAAGAGCGCAAGUCGCCGGCCAAUGUUGUGGUGGAAUGAAGGUCCCAGAAAAGUUAUAUUUCCGGCCAGAUCUAAUUUAUUCGGCUAGGUCCGGACCUGUAAAAAACUAACAAACAGUUAGAGAAAAUAAAAUAGGUGGGAGGGAAGAUGAAGAAGAGAAACGACAAAGAUAGGGCGUGAAGCAACAAUCACCGAAUUCUGAGGUGGGGGCGAGUUAUCUACAUGCGAACUCCCAAGAAGAGUUUUAUGCUUGGAAAAAAUCAUGAUAUGAUUUUGUGCAUUUCGUAAUAGAUUUUAUAGGAAUUGUAGGAAGAAAAAAAAAGAAUAUGACUGUUUAUCGUGAGAUAAGCCAUGAAAGGUGCUGGGUUAAGCUUGAAAGAUGAAGAACAAAUGAAGAAUUGGUUUGAAGGGGGGGGGGGGGGGGUUAAAAAUUUUUUUUUUUUUUUUUNNNNNNNNNNNNNNNNNNNNNNGGGGGGGGGGGGGGAGGUUAAUAAUUAUUUUUGUUUUAUUUUCCUAUGUGUCCAUAAUAAAUGAGUUGGAGCCUAAGUGGUUUAAUUUUCUUGACAUGGCGUCCUACGUAUAGGAGAUUGUAUUAUGUUUGACUCAAAAGUUAUCGAAUACUUUCCGAGCAAAUCAAUCGAAAGAGAUUGAGGAUGAAUUAUAAUCGAAGAUAAUAAGAUCCUAAGAUAUUUUCUAUGCGUUGUUUGUAAUAGUUACUGUAGAUGUGAGAGAGAGAGAAAUGAGGAGAAAAUUCGAGAGAAAUAAGAGUUUGUAAUAUUCCAUUUUGAAUGCUAGGACACCUUUUUUAUAUUAAAGGAUCUUC
rnacentral:lncRNA from 1 species